rnacentral:rRNA from 1 species
UACGUAGGGGGCUAGCGUUGUCCGGAAUCAUUGGGCGUAAAGCGCGCGUAGGCGGCCAGGUAAGUCCGCUGUGAAAGUCAAAGGCUCAACCUUUGAAUGUCGGCGGAUACUGCCAGGCUAGAGUCCGGAAGGGGCGAGUGGAACUCCUGGUGUAGCGGUGGAAUGCGCAGAUAUCAGGAAGAACACCGACGGCGAAGGCGGCUCGCUGGGACGGUACUGACGCUGAGGCGCGAAAGCGUGGGGAGCGAACAGG